UGUAGUCAUAUGCUUGUCUCAAAGAUUAAGCCAUGCAUGUCUAAGUAUAAGCAAUUAUACGGCGAAACUGCGAAUGGCUCAUUAUAUAAGUUAUUGUUUAUUUGAUAGUACCUUACUACUUGGAUAACCGUGGUAAUUCUAGAGCUAAUACAUGCUAAAAACCCCGACUUCGGAAGGGGUGAAUUUAUUAGAUUAAAAACCAAUGCCCUCCGGGGCUCCUUGGUGAUUCAUGAUAACUAUUCGAAUCGCAUGGCCUUGCGCCGGCGAUGGUUCAUUCAAAUUUCUUCCCUAUCAACUUUCGAUGUU
rnacentral:rRNA from 1 species